UCAUCACCUUCACCGAUGGACCGAUGCGACGUGCUCACAUCUAUUUAGACUAGUUUUGUUUCAUAAGCAAAUCUGAAGUAUUUGUUUACAUUUAAUAAUCGGGGCAGUUCUUAAGAAAGAACCGAGCAGUCAAGCUUUAGAUGUCGAGGGUUAAAGUACGUUUGUUGUAAUAAAGCGUAUUAUUGUGAAUUUAGUGUUUUAAUCAAACUAAAAAGACAGAUUAACAGUCGCUAAUCUAUCAUCAGAAGUGGGAUAAAGGAUAUCUUCUCGUGAAUUAUUUCCGGAAGAGAGGACCUAAAAAAAUAUUUUUUUUUUUUUUGUGUUUCUUUGUGAACGAACAAUGGCAGACAAUAGUGAAAAACGCGACCGCGCAGUAAGUCCGAACGUUGUGAACAUUACCGAAAGUGCAUCGGAGAGAGACUAGCAGCAAGAAAGUAACAACAGAUUCCAAAAACAAAACAUGGAAAUUUUAUCGACAAUGGCCAACGCCCAAACUACUCAAGCAACAUUGAAGAUGGCUGCGCAGAAGGUUUAAGUGUGGCUGCAGCGCAGUUUCGACUUGUAAGAUUUAGAAAUUGCAUUUGAGGAACAUGACUUGAAUUUGUCAGGAAUGGACGAGUGGGUUACGAAAGAAAUAAAAGAACAACCGAAUGGAUAUUUUAGACAUCUUGUGAAAAACUUUGCAACUUUAACAGCACCGAUAUCUGCACUGUUACGUGAGGGAAAAUCUUUUGAAUGGACAUUUAAAUGUGAAAAUGUACGAUUGAUUUCUUAUCCGAUUUUCAACAUUUUUGAUCUGGAAUUGUCAACCGAACUACAUACAGAAGCAAGUUCGUUAGGAUUAGAUGUCGUUGUUAGCUGUCGAAUAGAGGAAAGUUGAAACCAAAGUAUCACGGACCCUUUGAGGUAACGCAUUGUUUACCUAAUGAGAGGUACGCACUCCGAAGGAUUGGCAGCCGAGGUAGAACUACAAUAGCAGCGCAUGAACAGUUACGAACCUGGCCAGAUACAGAAAUUCUAUAAGAUUACCGGUGUCAGGUGAAUCUUUGCAAAACUGUGGAAGGUGCGAGGACGCCCCACAUGUCAGGAAGGCCGUGUUAGCUUACGUCAUCACCUUCACCGAUGGACCGAUGCGACGUGCUCACAUCUAUUUAGACUAGUUUUGUUUCAUAAGCAAAUCUGAAGUAUUUGUUUACAUUUAAUAAUCGGGGCAGUUCUUAAGAAAGAACCGAGCAGUCAAGCUUUAGAUGUCGAGGGUUAAAGUACGUUUGUUGUAAUAAAGCGUAUUAUUGUGAA